rnacentral:rRNA from 1 species
UACAGAGGGGGCAAGCGUUGUUCGGAAUUACUGGGCGUAAAGGGCGCGUAGGCGGCCUGUUAAGUCGAACGUGAAAUCCCCGGGCUCAACCCGGGAACUGCGUCCGAUACUGGCAGGCUUGAAUCCGGGAGAGGGAUGCGGAAUUCCAGGUGUAGCGGUGAAAUGCGUAGAUAUCUGGAGGAACACCGGUGGUGAAGGCGGCAUCCUGGACCGGCAUUGACGCUGAGGAGCGAAAGCCAGGGGAGCAAACGGG